AGAGUUUGAUCCUGGCUCAGGACGAACGCUGGCGGCGUGCUUCAUACAUGCAAGUCGAACGAGAAAGCACCCUUCGGGGUGUGAGUACAGUGGCGGACUGGUGCGUAACACGUGAGCAAUCUGCCUCGAAGCCCGGGAUAACCUUCCUAACGGGGGGCUAAUACCGGAUGUAUUCCCCGGACGGCAUCAUCCGGUGAAUAAAGAUGGCGUGCUGAGCGCUAUCACUUCGAGAUGAGCUCGCGGCCUAUUAGCUUGUUGGUGGGGUAACGGCCUACCAAGGCGACGAUGGGUAGCCGGCCUUAGAGGGCGACCGGCCACAUUGGGACUGAGAUACGGCCCAGACUCCUACGGGAGGCAGC
rnacentral:rRNA from 1 species